rnacentral:rRNA from 1 species
CACAAGGGGUGAAGCCUGCGGUUCAAUUGGAGUCAACGCCAGAAAUCUUACCCGGAGAGACAGCAGAAUGAAGGUCAAGCUGAAGACUUUACCAGACAAGCUGAGAGGUGGUGCAUGGCCGUCGUCAGCUCGUGCCGUGAGAUGUCCUGUUAAGUCAGGUAACGAGCGAGAUCCCUGCCACUAGUUGCUAUUAUUAUUCUCAGGAAUAGUAGGGCGAAUUAGUGGGACCGCUGCAGUUAAUGCGGAGGAAGGAGGGGGCAACGGCAGGUCAGUAUGCCCCGAAACUCUGGGGCCACACGCGGGCUGCAAUGGUAGUGACAAUGGGUUCCGAACCUGAAAGGGAGAGGCAAUCCCCAAACACUACCACAGUUAUGACUGAGGGCUGUAACUCGCCCUCACGAAUAUGGAAUCCCUAGUAACUGCGUGUCAUUAUCGCGCGGUGAAUACGUCCCUGCUCCUUGCACACACCGCCCGUCGUUUCAUCGAAGUUUGCUUUUAGCGAGGUGAUGUUUAAUUGGCAUCAUCGAACUUGAGGUAAGCAACGAGGGAAAAGUCGUAACAAGGUGACCGUAGGGGAACCUGCGGUCGGAUCACCUCCUU